UGAAUAAAAAUUAAAAUAAUUUAAUUUAACAUUAAAAAAAGAUUUGAUAGAAAAUAAAAAAAAAAGAAAAAAAAUAAAAAAUAUCUUUUUAUGUUUUUUUUCCUUUCUAAACAUAUGCGGGAGGUGGGGGCUCGGGUUGAAAACGUGACCUCAGGCCUCCAUUUUAAAAUAUUUGCCGGGAAAAUUGCACUGAGGUUUUCGCGGGAUCUCAUCUCUUAUAAGAAAUUAAUAGAAAAAGAAAAUCUAAAAUUCCCAAUUUCAGGGCUCUUCUGCAACUGCAACCAAACAUUUCUCCGCCCAAAGAACUUGUUACAGCUCUGAUACUAAAAUCAUAAACCCUAAUAUUGCCUUUAUCUUUUCAAUUUCUUUUUUCACCCUCUCUUUUCUUUGCUUGCACAUCAAAGUUGCAUCUUUUAGGUAACUCUAUAUAUCUUUAAGGAAAUAUGUCGCAGACUAGAAUGGAAACCGUGACUGGCUAUUCAGCUGCUAUACAUGCUGCCUUGUGCAGUAAAAACCCUAUGGAUCAUAGAAUUGAGUCCUUCAACAUUGGCACUUGUAAUCAUCAUGCGGAGAAAAAGGACCCAAUGAAAGUUUGGCAAGAAAUGAAACAAAACGGAUUCCUUACACCUUCAGUUACUCAAAUGCCCACACCACAGAAACAGUCUAAGAGACGAAGAAAUAAGACACCCAAUAGCAAAAGGGAGCUUGCAAAGAUGCAACAAGUUGAUAAUUUUAUUAAGAUUGUUGAACCUGCCUGUGAAUCGCUCAAGGAAUGUAAUACUGGGGUUAUGCCUUUCAAUGAGACGGUGCCAGUGCCGAAGAAACGCACCAAGAGGUGUAUAAUUGAUCUUCAGAAGGGGAACAUGAAAGUUGCCAAGUUGCAAAAGCUGAAUAGAUUUAUUAAGCUUGCUGCGCCUAGUGGGUUGCUUAAUGAACUUAAUCCAGGGAUCAUAAACCGGAUGAGAAGCAGUGAACAAGUAUUUUCGGUAAUCAAUUCUUUGGUUAGGAGAGAUGAGAUUGGAGUUUCUAACGACCAAAAUGUAAACACCGGCUGCAAGGGAAAGAAAAUAGGGGAAAAUGACAGAAAUGGUUGCUCUAAUAGUGUAUCUGGGAGUGACCAGCUAGAAAUAUGUUUUCCGACGACUACAGGAAGGCUUUCACAUAUGACGUCAGAACACAAGGGAGUGGUUAACGAUUUGGGCAUAGCAAUGAUAAAGAUAGAGAAUGAGAACGACAGGGAUGAGGUGAAAUGAUCAUUAACAUCCAGUAUGAAAUUGGAAACUGCAAGCAGUUCUGUCUCCAAUGGAAAAUCAACAAACAUAGCUAGUGUUUCUUCUCUUUCUCAACAAGGCACUACAGUAGCUUCUCAAUGGGUACAGUUUUUUCAUCGAGAUGUUACAAACCGUCUUGCAGCAUUGAGGCGUAGUCAAAUGAGGGUUCAAGAUGUAAUCCAGACAGAGUUGCCUUCUCUUCUAGCAAAUGAAUUUUCACUUAACCCAGAAAAUGUGCAGUUGCCUCUGGCUGGAUGCCCCAUUUCAGUUUCCAUGGAUAUUCAUCAAGCGAAGUGGAAUUCUAUGUUCCAUCAAAUGGACAAAGCCCUCAAGGAAGAGGCAAAUCGGCUGAAACACUUGUUGAACCAAGUAGUAGAAAUUCAAUCAGGCAACAAUGAGGACUACCAAUUUCAUGAAUGGUGUAUAAGAUUUUUUUGAAACAGCCAAUAUCAGUUUGUAAAGCCAGGAAAUUAUAACAUCGUGGAGUCCUAUCAUGAGUACAUAUGCAGGUUGCGUUCAUACAUUGUGGCCUAUCUCAUCAUAGUAAUUCAGGAUGUAUAUGGGUGCUUCUAACUAGGAUAGAAAUGAUACAUGUAAUUUUCAUUAGACUUUUAGUCCAAGAUGUUGUAAUAUAGAACUUGCAUUGCUUAGGCCAGUACGUUAAAUUGUGACUAUUCAACAUUGCAUAAUUGUAAUAUUCGUUUGACAAUGAUAGGCUGCGAUAAAUUUAUAAAAAAAUGAAAAUAAUUUUUGAUAUUAUAACAGACUAGUCAUGGAUGAACCAUUUUAUUUUCUUGAAUUGGUAUGAUCUAUUGCUCUUAACUUGU